CUUUGACGUUUUCGACAACACCACAUCUUCUCUAUAACAAAGACUUCGGCCCAUUGCCUCGCAGGGGGUGGAAUAGCCCAUUGUUCUCACAGGGGAGGAGACUGGACGAUCUCCUCCCCAAGAUCCAUCUGCCAAUGAUCCAUGGGCUAUCUCUUCAGACAGAUCCAUGUGGUAUAUUUCAAACAAGCUAGCUGGACUUUAUCUUGGUCAGGCUAUUUGGAAGAACAUAGAAUCUGCUGUGCUAAAACAUGUAGAAGCAGAAUCCUGAGAGGGACUUCAGAUCUGUGGAAGAUUUUGAAAUGCAGUGCAGAUAAAGAGGUGGGGACGCUCAUUGAUUUCAUCUCUGGAAAGGUAGGAUCUGGAUCAAUGAUCUGCGUCAGAAAAACUGUCCAAUAACAAGAGUUGUAAUAAAGUGGUUUCUGCUUUUUGUUUCAAGAAAUGCUUUCUUUGCAAGCUAAGGCCUGAAAGAUAUGAUCUACAAUCCUAGAAAAUGGAUGAAGAACCCAGCAAUCACUUAUAAUCCUGUAAUCUUCACUUGUGCUCUAGAUUGUAUUGAAUUAGUGGACCAUUGAGAUGCCUUUUUUUAUAGACAAAUCUUGAGUUCUAGUAGCCUGGCAUCUUGAGGAUUACAAGAGGAGAAAAGAGGCCUAAAAGACUUAAAUUAUGCCUUCAAGCACUGGACAGUGUGUAAAACUAGAUUUUUGAUGGACAUUACAUGUUUCUUCAUCAACAAACAGAAGAAUAUGAUCAUAGGAAUAUGGAAGGGAUCGUGAUGGAGUUCUGAACACGCAAUCAGAUCCUAAACAAUAAGUGUCUUGUUGAAUUUAUAUGAAAAUAUUUGGGGCAAUACGAUGGCUGUCUUGCUUUUAGAAAAUAUGGGCAUCUCCUGAAUUUGAGAAUCCAAACUCAUUACAGUGAGAAAUGUAAGAAUGGUGACACUCAUGCUUUUAGAAUGAAUGACAACCUCUGUGGCUGAGAAGGGAAAUAGAAGAUCCUCUGAAUCUUUCUGAAACUAGAGCAAAUUCCAAACAUCCUCACCAAAACGAGUGGCCAUAGUUCAGAUGUCAUUGUUCUAUGAUUGCUCUAUCAGGUCUCUAAUUACAUAUUUUUCUGCAAAAUUAGCUAUGUUUAAUUUUGGACAUCUCAGAAGUUCCGAGGAAAAAAUAUAUGUUCAGGGUUUACUAAAGCCAAAAGAGAGCCUUGCUUUGCUUCAUAAACUCCAUUGAACCCUUCAAUUCCAAUAGGAAUAUUAAGCCAGUUGGAGUAUGUAACUCUGGCGUGGAGAAGAUUAUCGCUAGUCGUAGGGGUGCUUUUGAAGAUAUGUCCAUUAAUUGGAGAACUGAAAUCUAAACAAGGAAGAAGAGCAUUAGAGUUCUAAAGUAUUGAAGAUGCUAAGGUGAUAAGGAAGGUUCAGUGCAUCUUCUAUUUCUCUUCCCAGAUCGCGGAGAUUCUCAUUCAUUGUAAAAGCAAGGGUGUCAUCAUAUUUAAUUUUCUUACUUUAAUUUGUCUGGCUUCUCAAAUUGUGGGGGUGGUUUUAUUUUUAGAGCAAGCCUGCCAUCAAAAUCAAUUCCCUCCAAAUUAUUUCUUGUCAAUUCAACAAGACACUUAUCUUUUAGUAUCCGAGUGCAUGUUCAGCACUCCAUCCUGAUCCCUCCCAUAUUCUUAUGGCCAUACUCUUCUGUUUGUCGAUGAAGAAGCAUGCAAUGUCCAUAAAGAUUUGUUUUUGCUCACUGUAAAGUGCUUCAAAGCUUAUUUUAGGUCUCUAUUAAGUCCAUUAGAAGAUUGUCCUUCAUUAAAUGCCAAUAAACUCUGUCAGUACUGCAAAAAUUGUCUGCCUUAAGGUCAAAAACAUGAAACUCUUUCGUGAAAUUGUCAUUCUUUCCUUGAGUACUUCUCAUGUAAUCUAGAAAAUGUAUUUCAACAGAACAGCUGCCUUUCAUGCAUUAGAUCCAUUCUUCUCUUUAUUUUAAUGGUAAAGAGUCAAUUGACCAUAUCAAGGAUUGAGAUAACAAUGUGAAUCACAAAUAUCAAGGCGAUCUUCACUAAAAGAGCAUCUAAGUGGUCCAUUUGAUCAAUACCAUCUGCAACAAUAAAGAAUUGCUGAAGGGCUUCCUGACCAGAUGAUAUAUGAGAGCUGAUUUCUUUAGUUGUAUUGUGUUUUGAGAUGUCAUACACAAUUCUUAAUCAAAUUCUGCCAAUAUCAUUUGGCCUGAGUGGAUUAUUGGGACUGUGGAUAGACGACUCAGUAGAUUGGGGAAAAUGAUAUACAGCUGCUGUUUAAACUUCACUGAAGUUUACAAAUUCAUUUGGCAUGUUACACCGAUUGAAAAUUCAGACCUAAAAGGAAAAUGUGACGGUGGAGUACUCUUGGAGGUAGGUUCUCUUCAGGAUCUCCUAGAAAACUGACCAAUCACAGGCAUGCUGUUUCAUAGUAUCACGGUAUUAUCAAUUAAUAGGUGGAAGUGGCUUCGAAUAAUAAAGAGUAAUUAUCAGUCUUUCAUCAGUAGCCUUGAAUUCUACAGAUUGAUGUCCUAGAUCUUUUGUCAAAGAUCUUAAUCACUUAAAGAGAACCGGCGUAACGUAGAGUCUCUCGUCCUUGGAUAUGUUGAAAAUCUAAUUGUAACUGGCUUAACACUGGUUACAAUACUCAGUUUUGUGGAGUCGAAAUUUUGGAAAUGAAAUUGAGAAAUUCUGAUUUUGGCAAGCA